rnacentral:rRNA from 1 species
UACGGAGGGUGCUAGCGUUGUUCGGAAUCACUGGGCGUAAAGGGCGUGUAGGCGGUCUGUUAAGUCUGAUGUGAAAUCCCCUCGCUCAACGAGGGAACUGCGUCGGAUACUGGCAGACUUGAGUACCGGAGAGGAAGGUGGAAUUCCCGGUGUAGCGGUGAAAUGCGUAGAUAUCAGGAAGAACACCCGUGGCGAAGGCGGCUCUCUGGGACGGUACUGACGCUGAGACGCGAAAGCGUGGGGAGCGAACAGG